GCUAGGCAUUUGUUUUGAGCAGCUUUAAUUUAAAAGCAAAACCUUUGGAGCCGUGUCUUGAAGUCAACUUUUAAGUGCUGUAAAACUACUGGACUUCUCUGGCAGUGUCCUCUGACUUCUGGACCUUUAAGUGCCUAAUGCCAUCUGUUAAUUUCAAAUGGAUCCAGACUUGCAGGAGGCCUUCAGUGAUGUUCAGAGCUCCGUAUACAGAACAGCCCUAAAACUACGCUCAGUACAAAGUCUUUGCCAGUUGGAUUUGAUUGACGUUUCUCUGAUUCAGCAUGUCCUAUCAAGUGAACAAAGCCAGAGGGAAGAGCAGAUUUCUCUGAACAUGCAGCAAAUCUCUAGAAUGCUGAUGAAACUGUUCCAGAGGGCAAGAUUAGAAAAACCAGGCCAGGUAGAUCCAAGAGCUGCUGAAUUCACAUUGAGCCUGCUGAUUGCCAUGUAUGACAGAUCUGGAACAGGGUAUAUCAAAACUAGAUCUGCUGCAGCUGCCUUAAUUUCCCUUUCAGGAGACACUCUACUGGCUAAAUACAGAGCUUUAUUUCAGUUUUAUGCUGUCCCUGAUGGGAAGGAGACCCUGAUUACCCGUAGUGCCCUGAGAAGCCUGCUAACAGACCUAAAUCAGAUCCCAGCCAUUGUGGGAGAAGGCUGCACUCUGUCUUGUGUGGAAAUUGCAAUUCAUGACUGUUUCCAUGGGGUUCUGAAUGCAGCUAUUGUUGAAGAAAAAUUCCUGUCUUGGCUGAGAUCAGAGCCUGCUGUUCUCCUGUGGCUCCCUACAUGUUACAGAUUAUCAGCCACGGAUAUGGUUUCUCACCAAGCUAGAUGCAGAGUCUGCAAAGUUUUCCCCAUUACAGGCAUCAGGUAUCGCUGUUUAAAAUGCCUCAAUUUUGACCUUUGCCAAGCCUGCUUUUUCACUGGCUGUCUCUGCAAACCACAUAAGAGAUCACAUCCUGUUGUGGAGCACUGUGAGCAGAUGUCAGCAAAGGUGAAUGCAAAGCACUUUCUCCGCACCAUCAGGAACAACCUGUUUCAAGAACGCUGCAGAAGAAAAGAGGCUCAGAGAAGGACAGCUCUGGAGCCAGUGGAGGAGAGGCACUUCCCUGCUCACAAAGGAACUUUUCCUCCUGUGGAAUUCAGUGCUUCAUCACUUCCUGCUCCUGAAAAUAUGUCUUUCCCAGUGGACAACUGUGUCCCAGAGUCACCCAGGUUCAUGCCUGAAAACAGGACAGUAAUGCAGAAGAGUGAGAAUAAUGAGAAGACACCAGAGCAAGACAAGACAAUAGCUCAGGCAAUAGCCUCUUUUGAAGCAGAGGUAUUAAAAAUACACGAAUCCAUUAAAAGCAUUCACAGUGACAGCAGGUACAUGAAGAAGCAGUUCAAUAAAUGGAAGGACAAAAUGCAAUUUCUUCAUAACUGCCAGGAAGAAAAAAGCUGCGAAAUAGAGGCAAAACUCCAGAGGCUGAGAGUAAGCCAUGAAAACUUGCAAAUGACGCUGCAGCACAUGAAGGAAGAAGUAAAGACUGUGUUGCAGUCAUCAGAACAUCCUUUUGCACAGUGUCAUAAUACAAUGCCAAGAAAUCCACAUGUUCUGCUGGAAAGGAGAAUGCAGAGUGAAUUAAAUCCUGCCCAAAUAAGGCCUACUUCCAGAACAUGUGCAGAAUGGAAAUCUUUGAAUCUCCCAAACUCUGUAAAUAGAAUGCAGCUUUUACAGACACCUGAGGUUCCCACUGCAGUGGAUUUUAUGUUCUCAGAUGACCCACUGGAGUCAGUGUCCCCGCAGAGUGACAAACCCUUUAUGGGACAGCAUAACAAAGCAAAAGAGAAACAAACAUAUCCACCUAAACUGACAGAAAACUCUCUUGGUGGAAUAGGCAAUACCGUUCUUAUUCCCACUGCAAUGCAGAUACCACCUGAUGAGAAGGAAGUCAGAGAGGAAUUGGAACUGCUAAUGAUGAAACUGGAGGAUACACUGUCUCUCCAAACCCAACCAGCCCAACAAACUGCUUUGCACCAGGAGUUCUUCUCUACAGCUGAGCAUGUUUCCAAGUCCUUUUGUGACCUCAUCAACCAUGUAAUUUCACCAGCUUGUAAAUGAUGGAAACUACCAUUCACCUUACAACUCCACUGAACUAUUAAGGUCUAUUCCCUGUUGAAAUGGCCAGCAGGAAAGUCACUGGGUGUGAUGCAACACUUGAGCAGCUCAGACAGGUGGAAAGAUGUAGUUACUCAAACAUACAACUCUUCAGUGCUGUACACAAUUGCUGAUGACCUGAAACAUUUCCAUGGGACUGGCAGACAAGACAUGGGAGAGGAAGGAGACCAAGACAAUGGAGAAAUCCUUCUCACCUUGAGCACUCCGGGCAGACAGGAGUCACCCUGGGUACAUCACAGUUAGAAGGGCAGUGCAGUGAAACACGUCUCCAUGAAACUCCAUGAAACAUGUCAGAAAGCCAGGCUGUUAUGGGAUCUGUUUCUCCCAGGGAGUUACAGCCAAAUUUUCUGGGGAAGAAAAGCACUUUCACAAUGCAUUCUUUUCCUGAAGCUGAGCAGGACUGCAGUGUGGAGUCUCCUACCUUUUCUUGUUCUCUGGGUGUUUCUUUCCUGCAGCUCUUGGGACAAAAGGGUGUUUGAGCUCACUUGCCUCAGGGCAGCUCCUGGGCCAUGCCAGUGGGCCAGCAAGGAGGAGUGCCAGCCCUGCCACUGUCACACUCAUCCCACAGCACAGACACUCCCCUGGCAGCCACAGCCCCAUGCUGGGAGCCUGCACAUUCCCGCUCAAAGUUGUUUGGGGAAAAGAGUCUUCAAGAAGAAAUUGGAGGGGGGGAUAGCCAAUUAUUAAGGGCCAAGAAAUAGGUCACAGGAGAUUCUGUAAUGAGGAUGGGUACUCUGCCUUGUGUGAAAGGGAAUUGUGGGAUCUUUGUCUCUCCUUGGCUGCCUGCUCAUUCUCAGACUGUUUGCGGGACUAUCUGCUUUGCUCUGUGCUCUGCUGCUAGCUCCUGCUGGGGUCCUUCAGCACUUACAGAGUACUUGCAACUCCUCAAACCACAGAUGUGAAGCCUUAUGAGUACACUAUUGCUGUUGUCAGAGGAGAAAGUUGGGGGAUUUUUAAUAUGCAAGAUCUGUCAUGAAUAAUUUAUUGGCAGAGAAAUCUACCUCCUUGAAUGAUUUUCCUGAGUGAAGUAGUACAAGCUCUGUCAUUUAGAAUACUUAAAUGAGACAAAACCUAUACAGUAUCAAUAAGGAAUCAUGCGAUAAAGGCAGAUAGAACAUGGGGAUUUUUUAAAAAGUUGAGCAUGUAUUUUAUUUAUUUUUAAUAGGUCAGGCCACUCAACCUUUGAAACUCCCAUUUUUAUUUUCACAAAAAUACCCUUUGAAACCUGUUCUCAAAGGGGAUGUAACAAAGAUGAUGCUAGAGUGGAUUUCUAUGUAAUGAGUUUAAUUUGAAACUUCUGAAAAGACUAUGGUUUGAUUUAACAAGGUCCUUUCUUUCCUAUCCUAUUACUGAUCAGGCAUGGCUAAAAUGCUGCAUAUUUCAUGAAGAUUAUAGGGUUUUUUAGUACCUGGGAAGGGGGGUUGUCUCAAACUUACCAGCCAACCAGCUCUGCCUGAAACCAGCGAUCCCUGGCGUAGGUGCUAAAGGUCACCUUUGACUACAACAGUACCUGUCCUAGAGAUCUUCUGUUUGAAGUGAAAAAUGCCCAGCCAAAUCAGAGGAAGGAAAACCGAAGCAAAAAUGUAACAGGACCUGAAUUAUUUUACCUACCUGCCCAGACCUCUGAUCCAACAGCACACAGACAGGAUUCUGCAAUGUAAGGGAAUUUUUUCUUUCUUUCUGCAAAUGAGGCAAUUUUCUGUUUUGUGUUCAGGGCUUCCUCAUUACACAAGGCAGAAGUUAAAUUUUCCUGAAGCUUUUCAGUGAAUGCUGGAGGGCACUAGAAUAGUUCAGUUUCCUGGAACUGCUUUCUCAUUGCACAGAAAUCCUGGUCAAGCAUUGUCUGUAAAUGAUGUUAUUGUUAACAAUAUCUGUAAGAGUAACUUCAUAAUGGAGCAAGUCUUGAAAUAGCAACAGAGUUUGGAUGUGCCUGAAAGGAGAUAGGAGAGUCCAAAGGAAACAGGCUGGAUUGUGCACUUUGCUGCCAUCUGAUUUCAUUGUUGUGCCACCCUCAGAGCGAGGCACGUGGACAAGGAAAAAGUCUGUCUGGAGAGGAAAUGGAUGGUCAGAAUAUGUCAAAUCCCAACAUAAACAUAUGAAUAGAGUAUGGAGGUUUACUGUGGCCCUUGUACUUACUUUUAAAAGUAACUUGAGCCUUCUCUUUGAAGGAACAGAUUGAGACUGCUUAACAAAACCACGAGCACUGCUACUGCAAGUUCUGUUUAUUCCCUAAUUAUACAGUUUAUUGGUGUGCUUUGGAGCAAACCAGACUGCUGUAAAUUGUGUUUUGGGGAAAGGUGCUUGUUAGGGAGAUAAACACCUCUGUUUACAUAGGCUGGAGAGAUGAGUGGAAGCAUCUUUGUGUGAUGGCACUAAGGCUGGAAGUCAGGCUGUGCUAUGGACAGGUGGAGCUUGAGGUGUCCCCAAAGCUGCUGCCACACAGCUCGGACCACUGACCAGUGGAAAAUAGGGGUGUGUUGUGCCAGAAGGGUCUGGGCACUUCCUCCAGCCUAACAGCACAAGGAUCUUUAGGACAUUGUCAGAGCUGCAGGCUCACAGGAGAAUCAGUUGUUGCUGCUGGUGCCAUUUUCUUCUGUAACCCUUGUGAGUACAGAAACUUCCACCUCGGCUGGUCUGCAGGUCAGUGGCCAGCUGGGAGGGGAAAGAGGGGUUGUUUCUCUAAGCAAGUACUGUGAAUUAUUGGGUUGUGCUGAAGUUCCAAAAGGCAGCCAGGUGCCCCAUCACCUGGAUUAGACACCAGGGAUAGAUCUUCAGUUUUCUGCAAUAUUAAAUACUCCUUUCUUGGAACAGUAAAGCUUUUACAUACUGAUUAGGAGUGUUCCACUGUGCUGUGAAUCCACAGCAUCUGGAGUGGUAUGUGUGUUGAGGAAUCCCCUCCCAAUAGAGUGGGUAGAUAGUAGAUAAUUAAAGCCUCAAUAGUCCAAAGACCCAAUCUAUGAAAAACGGUACUGAAUUAAUAAGGUCAGUGCUUACUCUAUUUCAAGGCAAGUCAUAAAUUUGUUUCUUGGAUGUUAAGUGUGAGGGCAACAUGCACAAGAAUAUUGAUUCUUGUUUCCAUUAUGUGCAAAAUACUUUUAAAGGAGUCAAGUGGGGAAACUGGGAGCUCAGCUGUUAGCCUAUGCUUCCUGCAAUUUAUAUGCAAGUAAAUUUAGCACAGCUGUCAUGAAGUUACCAUUUUAAAAUUUCUCUUAAGGCUUCUGCAAAUAGUACUAGAUAUUUAGACGUUUCAUUCAUGAAAAUAAACCGAUCACCAUCUCAGCUGGAGAUAGAAAACCAGUCACAAGUAGUUUGCCUGUGCCAUUUUUUGGCUGGACAGUGUCCAGGUUAGCCUGCAGUGAAGCAGCACAUGUUAUGUGUGGGGACACUUAAUCCUGCACAAGAGGCAAAACCGAUGUUCUAUCCCACAGCAUGUCACCAGUGUGGAACGUGAGGAGUGUGUCACACUCAUGCCUUUGUCACCAGUUAAAACAGAGCUGCAAGAACCAGCCCUUCUCCCAACUUCUCUGUGUAGGGCAGAUGCAAACAUUGCUUCACAGUCUCCAAGGCAAGUUCAGUAGCUGGACUGAUGGCUGAGGAAAUCUGUGAAUGUAUGAUACACAGUGGUGGGGUGUUGUGCUUAUGAAGUCUGACAGCUGGACUUGGACCAUGUAAAAUGCAUUUCAGUUCCUCCAUGCUUUGAGUUACCAGCUUUGAUGUGGGCAAUUCUUACACUGGCUCAGAAAGUGCCACACUACAGCAUGGCCUGUUACAGUGUUAGUGGUAAAGAUCAGGGCUAUCCCAUGACUUAUUACAAAACCAGGCUUUUUUAGAAGAAAAUUUUAGUAAGAAAAAAUCAACGGACACUUGAUUAUGGGUUUUCUACAAAUCAGAGCAUUCCUAAUUGUGCUGCCCUCAGCAGUUUGUGGUUGUUCAGAAAUAACACAUUAAGUGGCUGCUGAUGCUGGUCUGACAUAGAGUCCUUGUACUUAUCCAGGGGUUGUGUCCCCUCUUGAGUUACCUGUUCCCAGUAAAUAACUUAUUCCAUAAACCCACAAAAAUGUGCGUGCUGAGUUGUGAACAAUAAAUCACUGAACUGAAUUAUAGUACGUGUAGCUUUAAGGUAAUGUUUUUGUGACCUUUUGCUUUCAAUAGUACUGGUUUGAGCAUAUCUGCUACUAAAAUUCUUUCUUUAUUUUAAAGUUAAGCUUUCUGUGGGCACUUAAAGAGUCUCUGUGAUAUUACUGAUGGAUGAUUCAUGUUUAACUUUUCAGCUCUUGUGGGUAGGCAUCUAUAGGAAGUGCAUUUAGAACGGAAGAGGUGGUUUUGGGUUUGUACAACAUGGCUUGGUGUUGUGUUGGUUUCAUUCAUGGUAGUAAGUGCCCCAGCAUGAUUGCUCCUCAUUGUUUUGUGUUGGAAUUGAGAAACUUUUCAAAAACAAUUCUAAGAAUUUUUUCUUGUAAAAUCAAAAGCAGGUUUGUGCCUGUCUCUGUACUGCUUUUCUAUUCAUAUGCUGCAAAAGACUUAAUUCCUAUUUUAAGGAAUGACUGUCUAUUCUAAUUAUAGCCGAAAUUAAUUGCAUGUUUAUAUUGAGUUUAUGGAUAAAUCCUAUAUUCAAAUGACAGGAAAUGGAAGUGGAUAAUAGUGCAUCCAUUAAUGAGAGUGUUCCCUCACUCUGUUGUUCUAAAUGAGAAACAUGCUUUCAUACAGAACCUUGGGAGAUAACAACAUAAAAGUGUAUUUUGUUUCCCUGUCUGGAGCUGGAGAAAGCAAAAUAAUAUCAGUAGUUAUCUGGUAACUGUGCCACGCAUGCAUUUCAUUUUCCCAGGCUGGCUUCACUAGAGUUAGUCUGGCAAAAAAAGAAAAGGGAAAUAGAGUUGCAUUCAGUAUCCCAUUAAAGUGAUGGCCAUUGUAUCUGGUUGUUAUGAUGUAAUUAUUUAAAGAAUACUUCAAGGGCCUUAUUUUGGAGUUCUUGUAAUUAUGUAAUUCAGAUUUUUGAGCUGGAAAAGGCUUCCCUCCAGUACCAAAAGCCUGCAGGUCUCACUGAACUCAGUGUAGCCAGCAGCUGGGACUGAAGCAGGCUGGGCCCACCCUGGUGCCGAGGCGCUGGCUCCAUGCACGGCAGAAAGGCUGUGGGCAGUGUCCGCCCACACACAGAGCCUCACUGGGA